AAAAAAAUUAUUCAAAUGCUAACAAUGAUGUAUCGUCCCUUUAAGAAAAUAUUGAUUGAAAUUUGAUAUUUUAUCAUCAAGUAAAAAGUCAAGUCUCCAAAUACAUUCAUAAAUGAGGAGAAAAUUAUAAUACAGAAACAUUAGCUAUGAAAGCAAAGUUUGUAUUAGUUUUUAAUUGGUCACACUUCCUCAUCUUGCAUAUUUGAUGACUACGUACACUCUUGCAGGGACCACACUCCCCGCAAUUGUCUUUUUUCAGGCAUCCAGGACAUUCUCCACAUCUUUUUCUUUUCUUCUUAGGUA